rnacentral:rRNA from 1 species
GCAAGUCGAGCGGACAGAUGGGAGCUUGCUCCCUGAUGUUAGCGGCGGACGGGUGAGUAACACGUGGGUAACCUGCCUGUAAGACUGGGAUAACUCCGGGAAACCGGGGCUAAUACCGGAUGGUUGUUUGAACCGCAUGGUUCAAACAUAAAAGGUGGCUUCGGCUACCACUUACAGAUGGACCCGCGGCGCAUUAGCUAGUUGGUGAGGUAACGGCUCACCAAGGCGACGAUGCGUAGCCGACCUGAGAGGGUGAUCGGCCACACUGGGACUGAGACACGGCCCAGACUCCUACGGGAGGCAGCAGUAGGGAAUCUUCCGCAAUGGACGAAAGUCUGACGGAGCAACGCCGCGUGAGUGAUGAAGGUUUUCGGAUCGUAAAGCUCUGUUGUUAGGGAAGAACAAGUACCGUUCGAAUAGGGCGGUACCUUGACGGUACCUAACCAGAAAGCCACGGCUAACUACGUGCCAGCAGCCGCGGUAAUACGUAGGUGGCAAGCGUUGUCCGGAAUUAUUGGGCGUAAAGGGCUCGCAGGCGGUUUCUUAAGUCUGAUGUGAAAGCCCCCGGCUAACCGGGGAGGGUCAUUGGAAACUGGGGAACUUGAGUGCAGAAGAGGAGAGUGGAAUUCCACGUGUAGCGGUGAAAUGCGUAGAGAUGUGGAGGAACACCAGUGGCGAAGGCGACUCUCUGGUCUGUAACUGACGCUGAGGAGCGAGAGCGUGGCGAGCGAACAGGAUUAGAUACCCUGGUAGUCCACGCCGUAGACGAUGAGUGCUAAGUGUUA